rnacentral:rRNA from 1 species
UACGUAGGGUGCAAGCGUUGUUCGGAAUCACUGGGCGUAAAGGGAGCGUAGGCGGGGUCGUAAGUUAGAAGUUUAAUACCCAGGCUUAACCUGGGGCUUGCUUUUAAUACUGCGAUUCUUGAGUAUGGAAGAGGGAGAUGGAAUUCCAGGUGUAGCGGUGGAAUGCGUAGAUAUCUGGAAGAACACCAGCGGCGAAGGCGGUCUCCUGGUCCUAUACUGACGCUGAGGCUCGAAAGUUAGGGGAG